rnacentral:lncRNA from 10 species
AUCUGACGCUCAGGCUCCGCCCCCUGCAUGUCUUUGUUGGCAAACAGUUCUGGGGGUCGUCCGAUCCUGCAGGUAGUGUCCGCGUGGGAGGGGAGGUGCAGCCGUCAGCGCUGCCGGCGGCUCCCGUUACGUGAAUUAGUGAGAGGUUCAAACUUCUUCCCCAGGCUUCAGUGUCACAUCUUUUCACACGGGCACCCCGAGGGCCCGGACUGGAAAGGUUCCCAGGAAACGAUGCCAGCGCUUUGAGUAGCGAAGAGGUGGAGAAAUAGCCCGGGCCGUUUGCAAGCUUUGAAGGUCCAGGCUCUCUUUCACACUCCUCAGUGUCAUCUCAAACUGUCAAACGCAGCCACAUCCGUUAUACAAUACAUGUUUUGUAGUAAAAGUGUUUUGUUGUGCCGUAAGAUACAGAAAGUGUUUUUAAAAAUUAA